rnacentral:lncRNA from 1 species
UGAGCCACCAUGGGUGCUGGGAAUCAAACUCGGGUCCUCUGGAAGAACAGUAAGUGCUAUUAACUGCUGAGCCAUGUCUCCAGCCCCAUGUAAGAACGUACUUUUGAAGGUGGACAGUGAUGGCACACACCUUUAAUUGCAGCCCUUGGGAAGUAGCGGGCUGCGGGCAGAUGUAGCCUCAAGUAUGCCUGCCUCCUUUGCAGCUGGACGGGAAAGCCACUGCAGCGUCCACCAGAACACAGUUAUGAAACUGGCCCACACCUACCGAAGCCCCCUGCUCUUCUGUGAUUUACAGGUGGAAAGCUUUCGAGCUGCCAUGGCACAGCGCCUGGUGCGUGUGCUGCAGGUCUGCGCUGGCCAUGUGCCGGGUAUCUCAGCGCUGAACCUGCUGUCCUUGCUGAGGAGCCCCGAGAACCCCCCAUCCAAGGAGCUGUGAGCACUGCUGCCCUCCACGGUUGGUGCCAGCUCCCUAAGCAGCCACGGUUGGUGAAGACCAGUCAGGGCCUGAGAGGCCCAGAGGCAGCCUGCUCACUGCAGGACUGAGCUCCACCAGGGAGUGCUGGGCAGGAGAACGGAGAGAGACCAGCAGUCGAGACCCCACCAGCCUCCUGUCCCUCGUCUCACCCCACAGAGGCCCUGUCCCCACCUGUCUAAUGUCAUAUAUCCACCGAAGGUUUUGGAACAGAGAGCCAUGGCUUUAAAAAAAGAAAAUGUGUCUCAUUCCUCGCUUUGACUUUGCAGAUGCAGAAACUGACUCAGUACAAUUACGGGGGCAGAGUGUGGCUUCCAGGAGCCCAGGGAAAUGUCAUGUGCUAGCCCUGCUUUUCUUACAGCCUGGCUGUUGCUCCCUGGUGUAAGCGGAGAUGGUUCUAUUCAUGUUGAGAGGAUUGAAUGAAAUGGCAGUGGCUUGCUGCCCAACACUA